rnacentral:misc_RNA from 1 species
AGUCCACCCUCCACCUUGUCCUCAGGCUCAGGGGAGGUAUGCAAAUCUUUGUGAAGACUCUUACAGGCAAGACCAUCACUCUUGAGGUUGAGAGCUCCGAUACCAUUGACAAUGUCAAAGCGAAGAUCCAGGACAAAGAGGGCAUCCCCCCAGACCAGCAGCGUCUAAUCUUUGCUGGGAAGCAACUCGAAGAUGGCCGCACCCUUGCGGACUAUAACAUCCAGAAGGAGUCUACUCUCCAUCUGGUGCUCCGCCUCAGGGGUGGCAUGCAGAUCUUUGUCAAGACGCUCACCGGGAAGACCAUUACUCUUGAGGUGGAGAGCUCUGAUACGAUUGACAAUGUGAAGGCGAAGAUCCAGGACAAGGAGGGGAUUCCUCCGGACCAGCAGAGGCUGAUCUUUGCU